rnacentral:lncRNA from 1 species
GCCGGGCGGCGGCCAGGGCGCAAAGUUGAGAGCAGUCUCUAGUCUGAGCCUUUCAGUCGCCUUCCAGUAUCAUCAGUACCACGGGCUCCACCUUGCUGCGGCCCCUCAGCAACCCAGUGCACCUGCCACUCGACCAGAGGGAAAGCAGUCAGGAGUGGGAGGCCUCUGAACAAGCUGUAUUUUGUGUAGCCGCCAGCUUCCAUCUUUCUCCAGGCAGAACGCUGGCCCUCAGCACAUCUUUCUGCUUCCCCUCGGUCAGACCACCGAGAACUGCCGCUGUCCUGUCUGACUCCUCCUGUUUUGGUACUAGACCCCAGAUGAGGAUCUCAGGAAGAUCCACAAAGCUGCGUCCAGGGGAACGAACGUGUGGAAGCUGCAGCGGAGCCUCCUGCUCAAGAGUAAAGGACCGGUCUGAAACCUACAAGAACAGGUGUCGGGGGCUGCAGGCUGCGGGCUGCGGGAGGAGGUGGGCGGGUGGGGAGAAGCACCCCCUUCAGAGUUGGGGCUUGGGGAGUGGGGGCGAGGGGAGGCAUGGAAAGAAUGGGUGUGCGGAGCGGGCCGUUCUGGUGCCCAGGGUGCUGGGCUUUCUUCCCGGACGGGCUCCGCAGCGCCUGAGAUGUGGACGCCUUGGAGGCGGAGGGCCCGGGCCAUCCUUAUGAGCAGCAAAAUAAACCCAAAACUUUAGCUGGUUUCUGACUCACCCACAGUUCCUCUUACAGAGCACUUCAGAGACAAUUUUAAAGUGAUUUAAUUAAUAAAAGUAUGUACAGUGUUUUAUUUUUUAUGUAUACAGUUUAAAAUAU